AACGAACGCUGGCGGCAGGCUUAACACAUGCAAGUCGAACGAACGUAGCAAUACGUUAGUGGCGCACGGGUGAGUAACGCGUGGAUAUCUGCCUUUUGGUUCGGAAUAACCUUGGGAAACCGGGGCUAAUACCGAAUGGUUCCUACGGGAUAAAGAUUUAUCGCCAAAAGAUGAGUCCGCGUCCGAUUAGCUAGUUGGUGAGGUAAUGGCUCACCAAGGCGACGAUCGGUAGCUGGUCUGAGAGGACGAUCAGCCACACUGGGACUGAGACACGGCCCAGACUCCUACGGGAGGCAGCAGUGGGGAAUAUUGGACAAUGGGGGCAACCCUGAUCCAGCCAUGCCGCGUGAGUGAUGAAGGCCUUCGGGUUGUAAAGCUCUUUUGGCGGGGACGAUGAUGACGGUACCCGCAGAAUAAGCCCCGGCUAACUUCGUGCCAGCAGCCGCCGUAAGAC
rnacentral:rRNA from 1 species